UACGUAGGGUGCAAGCGUUAAUCGGAAUUACUGGGCGUAAAGCGUGCGCAGGCGGUUUUGUAAGUCUGUCGUGAAAGCCCCGGGCUCAACCUGGGGAAUUGCGAUGGAGACUGCAAGGCUUGAAUCUGGCAGAGGGAGGUAGAAUUCCACGUGUAGCAGUGAAAUGCGUAGAGAUGUGGAGGAACACCGAUGGCGAAGGCAGCCCCCUGGGUCAAGAUUGACGCUCAUGCACGAAAGCGUGGGGAGCAAACAGG
rnacentral:rRNA from 1 species